GACGAACGCUGGCGGCGCGCUUAACACAUGCAAGUCGAACGGAAAGGCCUGCUUUCCCUUGUGGAUUGCGGGUACUCGAGUGGCGAACGGGUGAGUAACACGUGAGUGAUCUGCCCCCAACUUGGGUAUAAGCCUGGGAAACUGGGUCUAAUUCCCGAUAGGACUGCAGGGUGGUGCCUGUGGUGGAAAACGAUUUUCUAGUGGUUGGGGAUGAGCUCGCGGCCUAUCAGCUGGUUGGUGGGGUAAUGGCCUGCCAAGGCGGCGACGGGUAGCCGGGCUGAGAGGGUGGACGGCCACAUUGAGACUGAGAUACGGCCCAGACUCCGACGGGAGGCAGCAGUGGGGAAGAUUGGACGAUGGGCGGAAGCCUGAUGCAGCGACGCCGCGUGGGGGAUGACAGGCUUCGGGUGGUAAGCUCCUUUCGACCGCGAGGAAGCCACCUGGUUGGAAGGGUGGUGACGGUAGUGGUAGAAGAAGCACCGGCUAACUACGUG
rnacentral:rRNA from 1 species